UGGACUCCACUGAAACCAUCCUGCACUCUCUCCAGAGCAUAUGGGAAGAAAUUGAGGACCCAAGGAACUCAUCAUUGUGUUAUUCCCCACACCACAGGAUUUUUGCGCUUUCAAUGUGGUGAAGUUGAACACUAUAAGUGAGAGAUUGAAGAAAGCACAAGAAAGGUAUUGUAGAAAAAUUCAAACAAGUCAAUCUAUUUUUACAGGUUAGUUAAGUGUGAAAUGCACUUACUUUAUUUCACUGCACAUUAUAUUUUUGAUGUGUACAUUGUGUGUGUUUCCUCUGUUUCCAUUACAGCAAUUGGAUUUGCAGAUUUCUAGAAGGAAGGUUGCCUCUGUUGCUCCCUUUAGCUUUUUUAGUUUCUGUCAUCAUUGUAACUAAAUGGAUCUUUGAGAAGGCUGAUACUCCUUAGAGAAUCAUUUGAUUAUUUGGGCCAGUUAGCAUAAAAGAAGACUAUUAGGAAAAGAAAAAAAUUGUGAUUUAGAAAUUGUACCAUAUUCUUGAAUU